rnacentral:rRNA from 1 species
AAAUCAGGUAGGAGUACCCGCUGAACUUAAGCAUAUCAAUAAGCGGAGGAAAAGAAACCAACCGGGAUUGCCUUAGUAACGGCGAGUGAAGCGGCAAAAGCUCAAAUUUGAAAUCUGGUACCUUCGGUGCCCGAGUUGUAAUUUGGAGAGGGCAACUUUGGGGCCGUUCCUUGUCUAUGUUCCUUGGAACAGGACGUCAUAGAGGGUGAGAAUCCCGUGUGGCGAGGAGUGCGGUUCUUUGUAAAGUGCCUUCGAAGAGUCGAGUUGUUUGGGAAUGCAGCUCUAAGUGGGUGGUAAAUUCCAUCUAAAGCUAAAUAUUGGCGAGAGACCGAUAGCGAACAAGUACAGUGAUGGAAAGAUGAAAAGAACUUUGAAAAGAGAGUGAAAAAGUACGUGAAAU